AUGGCUCUAUGUAGAUACCAGUAGAGGUCAAGUGCGUGCGCGGCUACGAUCAGAACUUGAGAUAUUUGCAGGAUCCGAGGUAUGGAGAUCUGAUCUCCAUUUAUUUUUUCUAACGGUUCAUUUUUCUAUUUCAGAUUUCAUAUUAUGGUUACAUAUUUGUAUCAAGAUCGUUACUGCGAUUUUCAGAUUUGAUCUGAUACAUAAAUAAAUUAAAAUUAUUUUAAUUUAUUUAUUUUUGCUACAUAGAUGUCUAGAAAAAAUUUUGAACUGUACGUACGAAAUCGU
rnacentral:lncRNA from 1 species